rnacentral:lncRNA from 1 species
AUUUUGACACAAAUGUGUACAUUUGCAAACCAAUGAAAUACAAUUUUUUAAAAUAAUAAUAAUUACUUGUUUUUUCUUAUAUAAUAACUUCUUGGACUGAUAUAUUGCUGUUUGAUUCUUUUUCCAACCAAAGAAGGACCAUACAAUGCUUUUCAAACCUUGGACAAGAAAUAAAACUAUACAGCUGUCCAUAGAUUAUAGCAUCAGAGCACAUAAGGAGUUAGAAUCGGGAAUUAUAGCUAACUUCAGACGGAUUCAAUCAAUAUGUGAGAUCACAAAGUACCCUGAUAUCAAAAUCGUACUUGUAUUAUGGAUCCAGUUACUAAGAAAGGGGUAUUAAAUAAAAAAUCAGUAUUGAAAGGGGUAUUAAAUAAAAAAUCAGUAUUAAAAUCCUGAUGGCAGAUAUGAAAAUGGCCAGUCAUCAGAUGUCUUUGUUUCCAUACCAGUUCAAAGUCACAUUUGUCUGUCUCCACAGGAAAAGCAGAAGUCAAAGAACCACCUUGGAUGGCAGCACUGUUACUCCCUUUUGACCUUCUUUUUUUGUUUUUUUUUUCCAGUUCCAGGCUGUUGUUCGAAUGGGAUUGGCCUGCUGACUGGAGAACAAUGCUGGUCUUCUUUAUUCAAGUUUGUUUGCCACAUUCUAUAGCCUGUAUUGUCAGAAAAAAGCCACAUCCUGUUGGAUUCUCAUCCUUCUUGACUGAAACCCACUGAGAGAAGAGCUUUUCAAAAUAAAACCACUUCAUUAAAAAUUGCUGUGAGUAUG